rfam:Tilletia controversa strain DAOM 236426 scaffold_1, whole genome shotgun sequence.
AAGACAGUAGCUUAAUCGGUAAAGUCGCCUGCUCAUAACGGGUAUCAUAUGGGUUCAACUCCCGUCUGUCUUA